rnacentral:rRNA from 1 species
GAUGAACGCUGGCGGCGUGCCUAAUACAUGCAAGUCGAGCGAAUUGACAGAGGUGCUUGCACCUCUCGAUUUUAGCGGCGGACGGGUGAGUAACACGUGGGUAACCUACCUAUAAGACUGGGAUAACUUCGGGAAACCGGAGCUAAUACCGGAUAAUAUUUAGCUUCGCAUGAAGCAAUAGUGAAAGACGGUUUUGCUGUCACUUAUAGAUGGACCUGCGGUGUAUUAGCUAGUUGGUGAGGUAACGGCUCACCAAGGCAACGAUACAUAGCCGACCUGAGAGGGUGAUCGGCCACACUGGGACUGAGACACGGCCCAGACUCCUACGGGAGGCAGCAGUAGGGAAUCUUCCGCAAUGGACGAAAGUCUGACGGAGCAACGCCGCGUGAGUGAAGAAGGUUUUCGGAUCGUAAAACUCUGUUGUAAGGGAAGAACAAGUACGUUAGUAACUGAACGUACCUUGACGGUACCUUACCAGAAAGCCACGGCUAACUACGUGCCAGCAGCCGCUGUAAGAC